rnacentral:rRNA from 1 species
CUGCUGCCUCCCGUAGGAGUCUGGGCCGUGUCUCAGUCCCAGUGUGGGGGGCCUUCCUCUCAGAACCCCUACGCAUCGUCGCCACGGUGGGCCGUCACCCCGCCGUCUAGCUAAUGCGCCGCAUGCCCAUCCGCCACAGGAUCGCUCCUUUGGCCACCGGAGGAUGCCCUCCGGUGGCGUCACGGGGUAUUAGGCCGCGUUUCCGCGGGUUAUCCCCCUGUGGCGGCCAGGUUGCAUACGUGUUACUCACCCGUGCGCCGGUCCGG